GAGGGUGAUGCCUGCCCAAUGGUUGUAUCUAAAAGCGGUUGAUAAAAGUUGACCUCGUAAGGACAAUUGAAUGGCCGCGGUAACACUGACCGUGAUAAUGUAGCGUAAUCAAUAGCCAAUUAAUUGUUGGCCAGUAUGAAUGGCGCCACGAAGGCCCCACUGUCUUAAGGAAAUUCCCAGUGAAAUUGAAUUCGUAGUGAAGAUGCUACGUCCAAUUUGUUAGACGAAAAGACCCCGUUGAGCUUUACUGGAGCACUUACAUGGCCCCGGCCUUCCCAUGCCUGGGAACCGGCCGAAUUUAAAUGGGCGGCUUAGAUUAUGUGGCAGCCCCCCGCUGGGGCAAAUGAAACACCACUCCCCCAUGUCAAAGGGGCUAACCCCCCCCCUUGGGGGGACAGUGUAAGUAGGACAGUUUGGUUGGGGCGACCACCUUUUAAAAAGUAACGAAGGUGCGCUUAAGGUGCGCAAUUAAUGACUGAAGCCUGACUGCGAGGGGGACACCCC
rnacentral:rRNA from 1 species